CAUCAGAGUUCAAAAUAUACCAUCAGCUAUUUGUAACUAUACUUCGACUACUGCAGCAAACUUGUGGCUACUUUUCUAACUAAAAGGAAUGUAAUUUAUAGAUAUUUAUCUGAUCACAAAGGAAACUAAACAUACCAAAAUGAUUUGUAUAUCAUGACACAGUUAGUAGUAGAACCUGAAAAAUCAGUUAAAGAAAAUAGUAGGGCUGUCAAAGUUAACAUGUUUCUCGGCACAAAAAAAAAGUAUAACGUUAAUCGAGUCUCUAUUUCUUCAAGGCACGGAACUUUUUAAGCGCACAUGCUUCCGUACGGACUUUUUUUAUGACCAGAACACAACACGGAACACAGCUAUAAUCAACGCUUGCGCUUUUACAGCGCUGAAGACCGUGUGGCUAGCUAGCAGAUUACUUGACCACUGACUAGACUAUGCACAAAUGUGUAUGGCACAGGUUAGAACUGAAAAGGAAUAGGCUACUCAAAUACAUUUUUGAAAAGCUAUUUCAUUGGAGGGCACCAGGACCCAGGUCAAACCAACACUGCCUCUUUCCCCAGGCAGGCAGGCCAGGUGGGAAGCUAUAUAACAGACCGGAAAGAGUUCAAGACUACCGUGGGUCCCCAUAACACGAAGGAGUCUGAACCUCGUGUUGCAAUAAGAAAAAACAACAGUCUGACUACUGUUUGUACAGUACACAUCUGAUGAAGUGAACCCAUAAACUAGUUUCUACUGUUCAGCGGGACGCUCAGACUGAUCCAGCUACUGUAGAUGAACAACAGCAGGCCAGCCAGGAGGUGGACGUGCAAAGGAUGUUUUCCACACCCGUGCAAACAAUAACACACGGACCAGACUACUCAUUCACUUCAACAAGACUGAUACAGCCAGCUAUUGAUGUUUAACUGCAGGUCAAAUCAAAUGUUAUUGUAGGUGCUGUCACGUUCUGACCUUAGUUCUUUUGUUAUGUCUUUGUUUUUGUACGGUCAGGGUGUGAGUUGGGUGGGUUGUCUAUGUUAGUUUUUCUAUGAUUUGCUAUUUCUGUGUUUGGCCUGGUAUGGUUCUCAAUCAGAGGCAGCUGUCUAUCGUUGUCCCUGAUCGAGAACCAUAUUUAGGUAGCCGGUUUUCUAUUGUGUUUCGUGGGUGAUUAUUUUCCGUGUUAGUGUUUGUACCACACGGGACUGUUUCGUUGGUUUCACUUUGUUAUUUUGUAUGUUGUAGUGUUCAGUUUUACUUAUUAAAAUGGACAAUUACCACCCUGCAAA